ensembl:lncRNA
GUGUGUGUGUGUGUGUGUGUGUGUGUGUGUGUGUGCGUGCGUGUUUAUAUUCCGGACAUUUCUUUCUAUUAAUGUCUACUCUGAUUGUUUAUUGACGUGUGCGCGCGUGUGUCUCUGUGAUUGUGUGUUUGCAUCUGUCUUUUGUUUUCACAGACUGCAUCUCGGAUUAAUUUCCGGUGUGCUGACAAUAAACCCGAGCUGACGGUAUCUCUUGCCUUAUCGGCUGAGCUGUUUUCCAGUGUCUGAACGUCAAUAUUAUGUGUUGUAUCAGUUGUAGGCGAGCUUCCAGUGACGCUGAGACGAGCAGCACAGUAGCUGUUGUUUAAUCCCCUGUAAACUGAAAUCAGGAUCCAAUGCUCGAUGCACAAUGGUCUGUGAAUCAAUCCAAUUAGCGGAUCCCAAGGACCACAUGGCCACUUUGCCCAUGCCAAAUAAAGCUGUUGUGAUGAAUUAAUUGCAUUGCAUUAAAGUCUUCUGAAGAUCAGCAUCCAAUAUGCUCCACACUCCUCCAAGAAUCCAAGAAAUGCACUGUAUUUACACAUGAGGCCUUAAUCUUUUAUUAUCCAGGCUUUCUUUUUCAUUGCAUCCCCCAUUCUUACUUUGGGAUAAUGUUAUUGCUGUCCACCAGGAAGUGAAUUCACUGCUGUCACUGGAAUGAGGGUUCGCUCUGCAACUAUGUUUCUUUUAACUUGCCAUUUUGUGGGUUUUCGGGUUAGGGGGGUGACUUCUUAUGCAAGGCUGUAAAGUGGCUUUUAGACUGCAAGUGUGACACAGGGGCGGGCUGUAAGAAUUGGUCGUCUGUGUGUUUUCCAGUAAGGCUUUAUGAGCUUGGUUGCUUAGCCGAAUGAGGAGAUGUCCUUCAUUAAGAUCCCGUGGUGUAACACCAGUCAACAGAGAAUAGGUCGCGUGUGGAGUGGUGUAACACCAGUCAACAGAAAAUAGGUCGCGUGUGGAGUGGUGUAACACCAGUCAACAGAGAAUAGGUCGCGUGUGGAGUGGUGUAACACCAGUCAACAGAGAAUAGGUCGAGUGUGGAGGGAGCAACAGAGAGGGCCUGGUAACUUCUGUCUGAAUGUAAUACAUUUAUAAUACCUUGUUACUUGACACAAAACCUUUUUUGCGUACCUCGCAGUUUAUAGCCUAAUUUCACGUCAGAAGGAAGAUUCAGGAGACAUAUUACCGUACAUAUAUGAUGUCACCAAAGCGAUCCUCCCACCUGGUUAUAUUGAUUUAACUCUCAGUGGAUGGAUUGUCCUGCAUGGAGACUGAGUACCGGAGUGUGAGAGCGUGUUUGUGAGUGGGCAGCGUUCAGACCGCGACUCAGAGAGAUGGCUAAGGGUUAGCCUGAAUAGUGAAUCAAUUCAUUGAUAACCUUUUUUUUUCUCUCACUCUGUGCCUCAGCAACUAGUUACAGUUAAAGCGUCUCAAAUGGGUCUCAUUUUAUAGCUUUCAUUAUUUGGCCUUUCUUUCCAUUCAUUACAAAAUGAAUACUUUGUGCAUCAGACAUAAGGGAGUAUUUCUACUCACUAAUAUUACUUCUACCAUCAUUUAAGAAAUGUUGUAAACACAUGACCAUCUAUACAGGAACAAUUAUGAGCGGUCAAUAAAGAUAGUUCUUGGCUGCAGCCUGAAUAUGUUAUGCAUGUUUCUCCAGACCUUCGUCAUAAGUCAGAAUUUGUUCAAGCGCACGACCAUGGGUUGUGUCUCUGGGGUUAAGUGCAACGACUUGUUAGAGAAUCAAUAGAUUCAGCAGAAGGGAGGGGGACCAAGGCUUUG